GAUGAACGCUGGCGGCGUGCCUAAUACAUGCAAGUCGAGCGAACGGACGAGAAGCUUGCUUUUCUGAUGUUAGCGGCGGACGGGUGAGUAACACGUGGAUAACCUACCUAUAAGACUGGGAUAACUUCGGGAAACCGGAGCUAAUACCGGAUAAUAUUUUGAACCGCAUGGUUCAAAAGUGAAAGACGGUCUUGCUGUCACUUAUAGAUGGAUCCGCGCUGCAUUAGCUAGUUGGUAAGGUAACGGCUUCCAAGGCAACGAUGCAUAGCCGACCUGAGAGGGUGAUCGGCCACACUGGAACUGAGACACGGUCCAGACUCCUACGGGAGGCAGCAGUAGGGAAUCUUCCGCAAUGGGCGAAAGCCUGACGGAGCAACGCCGCGUGAGUGAUGAAGGUCUUCGGAUCGUAAAACUCUGUUAUUAGGGAAGAACAUAUGUGUAAGUAACUGUGCACAUCUUGACGGUACCUAAUCAGAAAGCCACGGCUAACUACGUG
rnacentral:rRNA from 1 species